GACGAACGCUGGCGGCGUGCUUAACACAUGCAAGUCGAACGGUAAGGCCCUUCGGGGUACACGAGUGGCGAACGGGUGAGUAACACGUGAGUAAUGUGCCCUUGACUCUGGGAUAACAGCCGGAAACGGUUGCUAAUACCGGAUAUACACAUGUUCCUGCAUGGGUGUGUGUGGAAAGCUUUUGCGGUCUUGGAUCAACUCGCGGCCUAUCAGCUUGUUGGUGGGGUAUUGGCCUACCAAGGCUUCGACGGGUAGCCGGCCUGAGAGGGCGACCGGCCACACUGGGACUGAGAUACGGCCCAGACUCCUACGGGAGGCAGCAGUGGGGAAUAUUGCACAAUGGGCGGAAGCCUGAUGCAGAAACGCCGCGUGCGGGAUGACGGCCUUCGGGUUGUAAACCGCUUUCAGUAGGGACGAAGCGCAAGUGACGGUACCUACAGAAGAAGCACCGGCCAACUACGUG
rnacentral:rRNA from 1 species